rnacentral:tRNA from 18 species
GCGGAAAUGGCGAAACUGGCAGACGCACCAGACUUAGGAUCUGGCGCCGCAAGGCAUGGAGGUUCAAGUCCUCUUUUCCGCACCA